GUCCACGCUGUAAACGAUGAGCACUCGAUGUGCGAGGUUUACGACCCCUCGCGUGUCACAGCUAACGCAUUAAGUGCUCCGCCUGGGGAUUACGGUCGCAAGACUAAAACUCAAAGGAAUUGACUGGGGCCCCGCACAAGCGGUGGAGGAUGUGGUUUAAUUCGACGCAACGCGAAGAACCUUACCUGGGCUUGACAUCCCGUGACCGCGCCAGAGAUGGCGUUUCCUCUUCGGAGGCACGGAGACAGGUGCUGCAUGGCUGUCGU
rnacentral:rRNA from 1 species